CUACGGGAGGCAGCAGUAGGGAAUCUUCCGCAAUGGACGAAAGUCUGACGGAGCAACGCCGCGUGAGCGAUGAAGGCCUUCGGGUCGUAAAGCUCUGUUGUUAGGGAAGAACAAGUAUCGGAGUAACUGCCGGUACCUUGACGGUACCUAACCAGAAAGCCACGGCUAACUACGUGCCAGCAGCCGCGGUAAUACGUAGGUGGCAAGCGUUGUCCGGAAUUAUUGGGCGUAAAGCGCGCGCAGGCGGUCCUUUAAGUCUGAUGUGAAAGCCCACGGCUCAACCGUGGAGGGUCAUUGGAAACUGGGGGACUUGAGUGCAGAAGAGGAAAGUGGAAUUCCACGUGUAGCGGUGAAAUGCGUAGAGAUGUGGAGGAACACCAGUGGCGAAGGCGACUUUCUGGUCUGUAACUGACGCUGAGGCGCGAAAGCGUGGGGAGCAAACAGGAUUAGAUACCCUGGUAGA
rnacentral:rRNA from 1 species